GAUGAACGCUAGCGGCAGGCCUAACACAUGCAAGUCGAGGGAGGAGCCUUCGGGCUUCGACCGGCGUACGGGUGCGUAACGCGUAUACAAUCUGCCUUUCACAUAGGGAUAGCCCGAAGAAAUUUGGAUUAAUACCUAAUGGUAUAUAGAUGUGGCAUCACCUUUAUAUUAAAGCUGAGGCGGUGAAAGAUGAGUAUGCGUUCUAUUAGCUAGUUGGAGAGGUAACGGCUCCCCAAGGCGACGAUAGAUAGGGGUUCUGAGAGGGAUAUCCCCCACACUGGUACUGAGAUACGGACCAGACUCCUACGGGAGGCAGCAGUGAGGAAUAUUGGACAAUGGUCGGAAGACUGAUCCAGCCAUGCCGCGUGCAGGAAGACGGCCUUAUGGGUUGUAAACUGCUUUUGCAGGGGAAGAAUAAGGACUACGCGUAGUUUGAUGACGGUACUCUGCGAAUAAGCAGCGGCUAACUCCGUG
rnacentral:rRNA from 1 species